rnacentral:rRNA from 1 species
GUCUACGGCCACACCACCCUGAACGCGCCCGAUCUCGUCUGAUCUCGGAAGCUAAGCAGGGUCGGGCCUGGUUAGUACUUGGAUGGGAAACAACAACACAACAGUAGUAAUUCUUUACC